CUACGGAGGCAGCAGUAGGGAAUCCUCCGCAGAUGGACGAAAGUCUGACGGAGCAACGCCGCGUGAACGAUGAAGGCCUUCGGGUCGUAAAGUUCUGUUGUCAGGGAAGAACAAGUGCCGUUUGAAUAAGGCGGCACCUUGACGGUACCUGACCAGAAAGCCACGGCUAACUACGUGCCAGCAGCCGCGGUAAUACGUAGGUGGCAAGCGUUGUCCGGAAUUAUUGGGCGUAAAGCGCGCGCAGGCGGUCUUUUAAGUCUGAUGUGAAAGCCCAUGGCUCAACCAUGGAUGGUCAUUGGAAACUGGGAGACUUGAGUACAGAAGAGGAGAGUGGAAUUCCACGUGUAGCGGUGAAAUGCGUAGAUAUGUGGAGGAACACCAGUGGCGAAGGCGACUCUCUGGUCUGUAACUGACGCUGAGGCGCGAAAGCGUGGGGAGCAAACAGGAUUAGAUACCCUGGUAGUCCACGCCGUAAACGAUGAGUGCUAGGUGUUAGGGGUUUCGAUGCCCUUAGUGCCGAAGUUAACACAUUAAGCACUCCGCCUGGGGAGUACGGCCGCAAGGCUGAAACUCAAAAGGAAUUGACGGGGGGCCCGCACAAAGCGGUGGAGCAUGUGGUUUAAUUUGGAAGCAACGCGAAGAACCUUACCAGGUCUUGACAUCCCGAUGACCGCUCUGGAGACAGAGUUUUCCCCUUCGGGGGCAUUGGUGACAGGUGGUGCAUGGUUGUCGUCAGCUCGUGUCGUGAGAUGUUGGGUUAAGUCCCGCAACGAGCGCAACCCUUGACCUUAGUUGCCAGCAUUCAGUUGGGCACUCUAAGGUGACUGCCGGUGACAAACCGGAGGAAGGUGGGGAUGACGUCAAAUCAUCAUGCCCCUUAUGACCUGGGCUACACACGUGCUACAAUGGAUGGUACAAAGGGAAGCGAAGCCGCGAGGUGGAGCCAAUCCCAUAAAGCCAUUCUCAGUUCGGAUUGCAGGCUGCAACUCGCCUGCAUGAAGCCGGAAUCGCUAGUAAUCGCGGAUCAGCAUGCCGCGGUGAAUACGUUCCCGGGCCUUGUACACACCGCCCGUCACACCACGAGAGUUUGAUCCUGGCUCAGUCGUAACAAGGUAACC
rnacentral:rRNA from 1 species